rnacentral:rRNA from 1 species
CUUAACACAUGCAAGUCGAACGAGCUGGGGCUUCGGCCCCGAUGCUAGUGGCGCACGGGUGAGUAACACGUGGGAAUAUGCCCUUUAGUACGGAAUAACCCAGGGAAACUUGGGCUAAUACCGUAUACGCCUUCGGGGGAAAGAUUUAUCGCUAAAGGAUUAGCCCGCGUCUGAUUAGGUAGUUGGUGAGGUAAUGGCUCACCAAGCCGACGAUCAGUAGCUGGUCUGAGAGGAUGAUCAGCCACACCGGGACUGAGACACGGCCCAGACUCC